rnacentral:rRNA from 1 species
UGCAAGUCGAACGGUAACAGCACUUCGGUGGCUGACGAGUGGCGAACGGGUGAGUAAUACAUCGGAACGUGCCCGAGAGUGGGGGAUAACGCAGCGAAAGCUGUGCUAAUACCGCAUACGAUCUACGGAUGAAGGCAGGGGACCGCAAGGCCUUGCGCUCAUGGAGCGGCCGAUGGCAGAUUAGGUAGUUGGUGGGAUAAAAGCUUACCAAGCCGACGAUCUGUAGCUGGUCUGAGAGGACGACCAGCCACACUGGGACUGAGACACGGCCCAGACUCCUACGGGAGGCAGCAGUGGGGAAUUUUGGACAAUGGGCGAAAGCCUGAUCCAGCCAUGCCGCGUGCAGGAUGAAGGCCUUCGGGUUGUAAACUGCUUUUGUACGGAACGAAAAGGUCUUUUCUAAUAAAGAAGGCUCAUGACGGUACCGUAAGAAUAAGCACCGGCUAACUACGUGCCAGCAGCCGCGGUAAUACGUAGGGUGCAAGCGUUAAUCGGAAUUACUGGGCGUAAAGCGUGCGCAGGCGGUUAUAUAAGACAGAUGUGAAAUCCCCGGGCUCAACCUGGGAACUGCAUUAGUGACUGUAUAGCUAGAGUGCGGCAGAGGGGGAUGGAAUUCCGCGUGUAGCAGUGAAAUGCGUAGAUAUGCGGAGGAACACCGAUGG